AGGGGGCACAGGGAACAAGUUACCCCAGCCUCCCCCUGCUGCCUUUGAUCCCCGCAGCAGUGCACUAUUGCACUGCUGAGCUGGAAAAAUGAAUGACAGCCGGAGGUCCGAAAAGGGGGCGGAGCUACACGGCACUGUACUCACAGUGACAGGCCAGCCAGCACCAUCGGAUAGAGGAGGGGAGAGAAGAGCAGCAGCACAGCACAGCCUAAAUAAACGCUGAUCAUCGAUGGACACUGAUUGGAUCAACAGAACAGGGAAACUGGGCCAUAGAUGCCAGGGACGUGCAGUCAGGGGAGGCAGGGCCUCCCCUGUCAUCAACGAUUAAAAUAAUACAAAGAAGAUACUUAUGACACAUAUUCUGUGUCAUAAGUAUCUCCUUUAGCCUUUA